AUUGAACGCUGGCGGCAGGCCUAACACAUGCAAGUCGAGCGAGCGGCGGACGGGUGAGUAAUGUAUGGGGACUGCCCGAUAGAGGGGGAUACCUACUGGAAACGGUGGCUAAUACCGCAUACUAUCGGAUAACCUAGAUGGGAUUAGCUAGUAGGUGGGGUAAAGGCUCUCCUAGGCGACGUUCUGUAGCUGGUCUGAGAGGCUGAUGGGCCACGCGGGGACUGGGACGCGGCCAAAGAUCCUACGGAGGCAGCAGUGGGGAAUAUUGCACAAUGGGCGCAAGCCUGAGGCAGCCAUGCCGCGUGUAUGAAGAAGGCCUUAGGGUUGGAAAGUGCUAUCAGCGGGGAGACGUUACCCGCAGAAGAAGCACCGGCUAACUCCGUGCCAGCAGCCGCGGUAAUUC
rnacentral:rRNA from 1 species